AAGACCCUAGUAAAAUAUUACCUUGUCUUGUCAAGACAAAAUUGUGGGUUAAAACCCCGCGAGUCUUA
ensembl:Mt_tRNA